rnacentral:lncRNA from 1 species
AACGUGUCUGCCUCCAGAACCACUGCCUCAGGUGGGGUGCUGAGACCCAAGAAAGAGGAAAGCGUGAGGUGCGGGCUGCAGCACAGGUGCUCAGAGUCACCAGAACUACAGCCAACCUUCAGGACCCUCUGAUGGCAUCAUCUAAGUCAGAGUGGAGAUGGAAAAGUUGGGUGUGUGGGACUGCGGGAGAGACAGAGGACAUCGCCCCAUUCUAACAAGGCUCAGAGAGGGAAAAAGAGGUGAGAAGAGGUGAAAUGAC